UCCGAGUUGACCCCGGCAGUCUCCUACGAGUCCCCGGCAUAACCCGCUGGCAACAUAGGACAAGGGUUGCGCUCGUUGCGGGACUUAACCCAACACCUCACGGCACGGGCUGACGACAGCCAUGCAACACCUGUCCUGGUUCCCGACUUCACGGGUGGGACACCGUUUCCGGCGCCUACUUCCAGAAUGUCAAGCCUGGGUAAGGUUCUUCGCUUUGCAUCGAAUUAAGCAACGCGCUCCGCCGCUUGUGCGGGCCCCCGUCAAUUCCUUUGAGUUUUAGCCUUGCGGCCGUACUCCCCAGGCGGCGAACUUAAUGCGUUAGCGCCGGCACCCAGGGGGUCGCUCCCCCAGGCACCUAGUGCCCAUCGUUUACGGCGUGGACUAC
rnacentral:misc_RNA from 1 species